rnacentral:lncRNA from 1 species
GCCUGGAGCUCCUUCAGUAUAAUAGGAAGGUGGGACUGACAAGGUAUUUUCAAAGACCUCUGAUAUGAAACACAUAUUCCUGGUUAUUGAAAAAUCAGAUCUGUCAAACUUUUGGCUUCCUGCAUGUCUGUAUUCCCUCUGGCUUCCAGGGGCGGGUUUCCAGCCAAGGUGAUGAAGAUUGAACGUGGUUGAUUGUCUUCACAAUAGCUGGUGGAUAGACACUCUGCUAAGAUGCAACUAGAUGGAGUCUGCUCACACCAGAGACCAAGGGGCACAGUCUUCCCAAAUCCUUAAUAUACAGAGACGUGCUCAACUGGCUGCUGGAAACCUGCUCUAAUGGCAGGACCCCAAUAUCUGGGAACUUCUGUGUUCUUCCAAAGUGGUAUGAAGAAGGUGUAACAGACACCACGAUACUCUUCCAGUGUGUUCAGGCAUAUUGCAGGUGGGCUGACGGUUGCAUUUUGUGAACUACUGCCCAAU